UAUUGGGCAAUGGGCGCAAGCCUGACCCAGCCAUGCCGCGUGAAGGAUGAAUGCCCUAUGGGUUGUAAACUUCUUUUGUACGGGACAAAACUCUCGGUCGUGACCGGGAUUGAUGGUACUGUAUGAAUAAGCAUCGGCUAACUCCGUGCCAGCAGCCGCGGUAAUACGGAGGAUGCAAGCGUUAUCCGGAUUCAUUGGGUUUAAAGGGUGCGUAGGCGGAAUAGUAAGUCAGUGGUGAAAGCUUGCGGCUUAACCGUAAAAUUGCCGUUGAUACUGUUAUUCUUGAGUAUAGUUGAAGUGGGCGGAAUGUGUAAUGUAGCGGUGAAAUGCUUAGAUAUUACACAGAACACCAAUUGCGAAGGCAGCUCACUAAGCUGUUACUGACGCUGAGGCACGAAAGCGUGGGGAGCAAACAGGA
rnacentral:rRNA from 1 species